UUUCUUGAUUACAGUUUAUAUAUUAAAGGGAUGUAGGUUGUACCCAUGUUGGUCUAAGGAGAUAGGCAGACAAGGUUCUUUGGGUAAAUCCGAUAUCUUUUAUUAGACCACCU